AUUGAACGCUGGCGGCAGGCCUAACACAUGCAAGUCGAACGAGUGGCGGACGGGUGAGUAAUGUCUGGGAAACUGCCUGAUGGAGGGGGAUAACUACUGGAAACGGUAGCUAAUACCGCAUACCAUCGGAUGUGCCCAGAUGGGAUUAGCUAGCAGGUGGGGUAACGGCUCACCUAGGCGACGAUCCCUAGCUGGUCUGAGAGGAUGACCAGCCACACUGCAACUGAGACUGGGUCGAGACUCCUACGGGAGGCAGCAGUGGGGAAUAUUGCGGAAUGGGCGCAAGCCUGAUGCAGCCAUGCCGCGUGUAUGAAGAAGGCCUUCGGGUUGUAAAGUACUGUCAGCGGUGAAGCGUUACCCGCAGAAGAAGCCCCGGCUAACUCCGUGCCAGCAGCCGCGGUAAUUC
rnacentral:rRNA from 1 species